GUUUAUUAGUAGGAUUAAUAAUCUUGCCUGCCCUAUGAAUUUUAAAUGGCUGCAGUAUUUUGACUGUACUAAGGUAGCAUAAUCAUUAGUUUUUUAAUUGGAGACUUGUAUGAAGGGUAGAUACUAUGAUGAAGGUUUUUUAAUAUUAAUUUGAAUUUUAAUUUAAGUUAAAAAUGUUUUAAUUAAUUUGGGGGACGAGAAGACCCUAGAAGCUUAAAAUGGAGAUUUUUGAUUGGGGUGAUUUAUGAAGAGAGGGAUCUUUGUAGAAGGGAAGUUACUCUAGGGAUAACAGCAUAAUUCUUUUGGUGAGUUCAUAUCAAUAAAUGAGAUUGUGACCUCG
rnacentral:rRNA from 1 species